UGCAAAUCAAUAUAAAUUGAUUUAUGAAUUAUUUAUUAAUUAAUUUUGUUUAAAUUAUUUUAUAUAGUUUCUAUAUAUAUAUAUAUAUGUAUUAUUUAUUAAUUUAUAUUAAAAAUAAUUAUAUAAUUAUGUGUUUUAGUAAUUUUUAAUGAAAAAAUAAUUUUUAUGAUUUGUAUUGUAAAAGAUUAUUGAAAAAUUUUUAAAAAUUUUUAUUGAAAAAGAAAAAUUAAUUAUUUGUACCUUGUGUUUAUUAAAUAAUUAAUAAUUAUUUAUUAAUCUCGAUUUUAUAAGAGUUAAUAAUUUAUGAAAGUUAAUGUAUUAAAAUUAUUUUAAAUAAAUUAUUUGAAAUGAAAUGUUAUUCGUUUAUAAAGGUAUCUAGUUUUUUUAGAAAUAAAUUCAAUUUAUUAAUUUUUGAUUUAUUUAUUAAUUUUUUAAUAAAUAAAUUUAUUAAUUAAAAUAUUUUAAGGGAUAAGCUUUAAAAUAAAAUUAUUAUAAAUUUAAUAAAUUGAUUUUAAAAAUAUAUGCAUAGAAUUAGCAAUUAUUAAAAAUUUUGUUAUAAAUUAUUUUAUAAUUAUAUUAUUUAUUUAUAUUUUAAUUUUUUUUUAUAAAAAUUUUAUUUUUAAUUUUAUUUAAUAAUUAAUAAUGAUAAAAUUAGUAUAUGUUAUAAUGUAAAAAUAAUUAUAAAUGAUAGGUUUAAAUAAAGAACUCGGCAAAUAUAUUACUCGCCUGUUUAACAAAAACAUGUCUUUUUGAGUUAUUUUUAAAGUCUAACCUGCCCAAUGAAUAAAUUUUAAUGGCCGCAGUAUUCUGACUGUGCAAAGGUAGCAUAANCAUUAGUCUUUUAAUUGAAGGCUUGUAUGAAUGGUUGGACGAAGUAUAANCUGUUUCAUUUAAAUUUAUUUUAGAAUUUUAUUUUUUAGUUAAAAAGCUAAAAUUUAAUUAAAAGACGAGAAGACCCUAUAAAUCUUUAUAAUUUAUUUUAUUUUUAUUUUUUAGACUUAAUUUUAUUUAAAUAAAGUUAAUUAUUUUGUUGGGGUGAUAUUAAAAUUUAAAUAACUUUUAAUUUUUAAAUACAUUAAUUUAUGAUUAAUUGAUCCAUUAUUAAUGAUUAAAAGAAUAAGUUACUUUAGGGAUAACAGCGUAAUUUUUUUGGAGAGUUCUUAUUGAUAAAAAAGUUUGCGACCUCGAUGUUGGAUUAAGAUAUAAUUUUAGGUGUAGUUGCUUAAAUAAUAAGUCUGUUCGACUUU
rnacentral:rRNA from 1 species